UGCAGUUCACUUUCCUGGGACUGAAACCACAUGAUGAUUAUUUGCAGAAGGUCUCAGGAGAGAAAAUGUUCCAUUGACUUUCACACAUUCAACCUCAAGCUUUUAUCUCAUCAGGACCAUUGCUUGGGUGUGUGAGG